rnacentral:rRNA from 1 species
CACACCGCCCGUCACACCAUGGGAGUUGGCUUUACCCGAAGGCGGUGCGCUAACCAGCAAUGGAGGCAGCCGACCACGGUAGGGUCAGCGACUGGGUG